rnacentral:rRNA from 1 species
GACGAACGCUGGCGGCGUGCUUAACACAUGCAAGUCGAACGCUGAAGCUCAGCUUUUGUUGGGUGGAUGAGUGGCGAACGGGUGAGUAACACGUGAGUAACCUGCCUCCUUCUUUGGGAUAACGCCCGGAAACGGGUGCUAAUACUGGAUAUUCACUGGUCUUCGCAUGGGGGUUGGUGGAAAGGGUUUUUCUGGUGGGGGAUGGGCUCGCUGCCUAUCAGCUUGUUGGUGGGGUGAUGGCCUACCAAGGCUUUGACGGGUAGCCGGCCUGAGAGGGUGACCGGUCACAUUGGGACUGAGAUACGGCCCAGACUCCUACGGGAGGCAGCAGUGGGGAAUAUUGCACAAUGGGCGCAAGCCUGAUGCAGCGACGCCGCGUGAGGGAUGGAGGCCUUCGGGUUGUGAACCUCUUUCGCUCAUGGUCAAGCCGCAACAAUGGUUGUGGUGAGGGUAGUGGGUAAAGAAGCGCCGGCUAACUACGUG